rnacentral:rRNA from 1 species
AUUGAACGCUGGCGGCAGGCCUAACACAUGCAAGUCGAACGAGUGGCGGACGGGUGAGUAAUGUCUGGGAAUCUGCCUGAUGGAGGGGGAUAACUACUGGAAACGGUAGCUAAUACCGCAUACCAUCAGAUGUACCCAGAUGGGAUUAGCUUGUUGGUCGGGUAACGGCUCACCAGGGCGACGAUCCCUAGCUGGUCGGAGAGGAUGACCAGCCACACGGGACCUGAGACACGGCCCAGACUCCUACGGGAGGCAGCAGUGGGGAAUAUUGCACAAUGGGCGCAAGCCUGAUGCAGCCAUGCCGCGUGGAUGAAGAAGGCCUUCGGGUUGUAAAGUACUUUCAGUCGGGAGGCGUUACCGACAGAAGAAGCACCGGCUAACUCCGUGCCAGCAGCCGCGGUAAUAC